CAGUAAUUAAGGUAUUACAAGUGCCCAGAAACCCAUAGACUUAAAUAUUUUAUUUUAGACAUAUUCAAUUUAGAUUCUCCAUUUUGGAGAAAUUUGGAUGCAAACCAGGAAUAAAGGUUUUUGUGAAAUGGUAAAUAGCAGGAUUGUUCUGUCCAUAAUUUCUAAAAUUCAUCACAAUACUCUGGAAAUUGUUGGAAGGAAUCAUUAUAUAAAAGCUCUAUGAAAUGGGUUACCCCUUUGUGGGGUUAAAGUCCAUAAAUUCCAAAAAUGAAAUAAAGUAAUUCAUUUAACAAAUGUGUAUAGAGUGCCUAUUAUGUGCCAGGCAAUGUUCUAGAGUUUUGAGAUAUACAGUGAGCAAACAAUGCUCUCAACUCUCUGGAGCUUAUAUGCUAGUUAUUCUAGUGGGGGAGGCAAGACAAUACGAACAUAAAAAAUGAGAGUAAAGGAUACAGUAUAAAUCAGAAAGUGAUGAUACUAUGGCAAAAAAAACAAAAACAAAAAAAAAACUAAAUAAAAGAAUAAGGAGAUGAGAGCAGGGAGAUAGCCUGCUAUUUUGAAUACACUGGUUGAGAAGGUGCCAUGGAAAACAAGAGUUAAGUGAAAAUUGAACAGAGCAAUUAAUGUCAAAAGUGAGGAGCAGGCAUUUGCAAAGAGGCCAAUUAAAGACUACAUCAUUGUCAAAAUGUCUGAAAGCCAGAAACCCAGCAGGCAAGAGAAUCAUGGCAGGAAGAUGGAGUAGUUUGCCUUUGGUCCCACAUGUGGACCCAAGUUGCUUCUAUGGAGUCAAGGAGAUAUUAGCAGCCAUGGAAUGA
rnacentral:lncRNA from 1 species